AUUAUCUAUAAAGUAAAUAUGCUCAUAUUGAAUAAGACGGCAGGAUCUUUUUCUAAGCCAUCAAAAAGAAAAAUUUAUGAAAUACUAAGAUGUUUUCUUUUUCAUCCUGGAAAACGAUUUCUCCAUAAACUAGUAUUGGGAAUUGAAACCAGUUGUGAUGAUACAGCAGCUGCUGUGGUAGAUGAAACUGGAAAUGUGUUGGGAGAAGCAAUACAUUCUCAAACUGAAGUUCAUUUAAAAGAAGGUGGGAUUAUUCCUCCAGUAGCUCAGCAGCUUCACCGAGAAAACAUUCAACGAAGAGUACAAGAAGCUCUUUCUGCCAGUAAAGUCCCUCCAAGUGAACUUUCAGCAGUCACAACUACCAUCAAGCCAGGACUUGCUUUAAGCUUAGGUGUAGGGUUAUCAUAUAGUGUACAGCUUGUAAACCAGUUGAAAAAGCCUUUUAUUCCCAUUCAUCACAUGGAGGCCCAUGCACUUACUAUUCGGUUAACCAAUAAUGUAGAAUUUCCUUUCUUAGUUCUUUUGAUCUCUGGAGGUCGUUGUCUGUUGGCAUUAGUUCAAGGAGUUUCAGCUUUUUUGCUGCUUGGAAAAUCUUUGGAUAUUGCUCCAGGUGACAUGCUUGAUAAGGUAGCAAGAAGACUUUCUUUAAUAAAACAUACAGAGUGCUCCACCAUGUGUGGUGGGAAAGCUAUAGAAUAUUCGGCAAAACAAGGAAAUAAAUUACAAUUUGAUCUCAAGCCACCCUUGCAUCGUAACAAAAAUUGUAAUUUUUCAUUUACUGGGCUUCAAAACACUGUUGACAAAAUUAUAAUACAAAAGGAAAAAGAGGAAGGCAUUGAGACAGGACAGAUCCUGUCUUCAGCUGCUGACAUUGCUGCUGCAGUACAGCACACAAUAGCAUGCCACAUUGCAAAAAGAACACAUCAUGCUAUCCUCUUUUGUCAACAGAGAGGCUUGUUGUCCCAGACUAAUGCAGUACUGGUUGCAUCUGGAGGCAUUGCAAGUAACCUAUAUAUCCGAAAAGCUUUGGGUAUUAUAGCUGAUGUAACUCAGUGCACUUUGUUGUGCCCCUCUCCCAGGCUAUGCACUGACAAUGGCAUUAUGAUUACAUGGAAUGGCAUUGAAAGAUUACGUGCUGGCUUGGGCAUUUUACACAGCGCAGAAGGCAUCCGCUAUGAACCAAAAUGUCCUCUUGGAGUAGAUAUAUCAAAAGAAGUUGGAGAAGCUGCCAUAAAAGUACCAUGAUUAAAAAUGGAGAUUUGA